rnacentral:tmRNA from 1 species
GGGGCUGAUUCUGGAUUCGACGGGAUUUGCGAAACCCAAGGUGCAUGCCGAGGGGCGGUUGGCCUCGUAAAAAGCCGCAAAAAAAUAGUCGCAAACGACGAAAACUACGCUUUAGCAGCUUAAUAACCUGCUUAGAGCCCUCUCUCCCUAGCCUCCGCUCUUAGGACGGGGAUCAAGAGAGGUCAAACCCAAAAGAGAUCGCGCGGAUGCCCUGCCUGGGGU